CAUGCAAGUCGAGCGGGGUGAUGUAGCUUGCUACAUUACCUAGCGGCGGACGGGUGAGUAAUGCUUAGGAAUCUGCCUAUUAGUGGGGGACAACAUUCCGAAAGGAAUGCUAAUACCGCAUACGCCCUACGGGGGAAAGCAGGGGAUCUUCGGACCUUGCGCUAAUAGAUGAGCCUAAGUCAGAUUAGCUAGUUGGUGGGGUAAAGGCCUACCAAGGCGACGAUCUGUAGCGGGUCUGAGAGGAUGAUCCGCCACACUGGGACUGAGACACGGCCCAGACUCCUACGGGAGGCAGCAGUGGGGAAUAUUGGACAAUGGGCGAAAGCCUGAUCCAGCCAUGCCGCGUGUGUGAAGAAGGCCCUUUGGUUGUAAAGCACUUUAAGCGAGGAGGAGGCUACUUAGAUUAAUACUCUAGGAUAGUGGACGUUACUCGCAGAAUAAGCACCGGCUAACUCUGUGCCAGCAGCCGCGGUAAUACAGAGGGUGCGAGCGUUAAUCGGAUUUACUGGGCGUAAAGCGUGCGUAGGCGGCUUCUUAAGUCGGAUGUGAAAUCCCUGAGCUUAACUUAGGAAUUGCAUUCGAUACUGGGAAGCUAGAGUAUGGGAGAGGAUGGUAGAAUUCCAGGUGUAGCGGUGAAAUGCGUAGAGAUCUGGAGGAAUACCGAUGGCGAAGGCAGCCAUCUGGGCCUAAUAUUGACGCUGAGGUACGAAAGCAUGGGGAGCAAACAGGAUUAGAUACCCUGGUAGUCAUGCCGUAAACGAUGUCUACUAGCCGUGGGGCNUUGAGGCUUUAGUGGCGCAGCUAACGCGAUAAGUAGACNNCUGGGGAGUACGGUCGCAGACUAAAACUCAAA
rnacentral:rRNA from 1 species